CGGGGAAGUCCACGGGGGGAAUCCCCGACUGCCAGAAGAAUAGUCAUGCCACUCGGAGCCAGCGAUAACAUGUGAUAGAAAAUAGUGCUUGCUGCUGAAAUCACCUUGUGGACAUGCAAAUUAACAAAUGACGACGAGGAGGCGAGUUUCACCGCCGAGCAAGGAAUUGCGGCGCAGACGACCGGGCGGCUGCGCCCACUUCACCGGGCCACCGUGCCGCCUCGCGCGCUUGUGUUAUACCUGCGUCAGAGUGACGUCAACAACAGGAAAAUUCCGGCGGUUGAAGCCGUCUUUGGAGGAAGUCAAUGUGCCGCCGGUUCGCCGUCUACCUGAAGGUCUCCUAGACACCUAAAAAGGCUGGAGGCGCCCAAGGGAAACGAAAGCUGGCGUUCCCACACCGCGUUCCGGUGGACCCUCGCUACUUAAGGCAAAGGAUAACCCGGGUUUACAGAAUUCGUUUCCAGCGGUCGUCGUGUCAAGGUCGCCACCUAGCCUCUGGCCUCUCAGGGCUUACCCAAGACUCGUCUCGUGUGUUACCAUCAUGUGUUGUACUCUUCCGAAAUAAAGAGUC